AAUUUUGGACAAUGGGGGAAACCCUGAUCCAGCCAUCCCGUGUGUAUGAUGAAGGUCUUCGGGUUGUAAAGUACUUUGGGCAGAGAAGAAAAGGUAUCUCUUAAUACGAGAUACUGCUGACGGCAUCUGCAGAAUAAGCACCGGCUAACUACGUGCCAGCAGCUGCGGUAAUACGUAGGGUGCCAGCGUUAAUGAGAAUUAUUGGGCGUAAAGCGUGUGUAAGAGGUUCGGAAAGAAAGAAGAGAAAUCCCAGGGCUGAACCUUGAAACUGCAUAUUUAACUGCCGAGCUAGAGUAUGUCAGAGGAGGGUAGAAAUCCAAGAGUAGCUGUGAAAUGCGUAGAUAUGUGGAGGAAUACCGAUGGCGAAGGCAGCCCCCUGGGAUAAUACUGACGCUCAGACACGAAAGCGUGGGGAGCAAAC
rnacentral:rRNA from 1 species